UGGGGUCCUCUGGAAGAACAGUAUGAACUCUUAACUGCUGAGACAGCUCUCUAGCCCCAAAGAACCUCCACCACAAUUAGAACCAUCACCCUGCAGCUAGAUUGGACGUCAUUAAAAGGGCUCAUCAGGAGUACCUCAUAUUCAUGAAGACAGAGUUUCAGGGUCUCUGCCUGGAACUACACCCUCCAGAAGCCCCAGCUUGGCUCCCCUGCACCCAACCCCAUCCCAGCCAGUUACAGCUUGCACUGUGCUUGGUGUUCCUUGGAAACUGCAACACAGACUCCUCCGACUGCUCCACCGGCCCUCCGUACUCAAUGAGCAGAAGAACGCAGAAGCUGGCUCCAGAGGCGGCCGUGCAGAUGGCAGAGCUCCUCGCUGGCCUUGCUUAGCACCUUCACCACAGAACAGCCACUGAGGGCCAGAGCUGUGCUCGCCACUCACAGUGACUACAAAGAGCUUUGUUGGUCCGUGUCACGUGAUCCGGGCCACCCUCUAAAGAUCCCUCCGGAGAAGGCUCCACUAAAAACAGGUGAUCUUCAUAGGCUCUUUACUGCCUUGAGUCCUACCUGGACUCCCCUAGGGCUGCAGAGAUUAGUAUCUCUUCACCUAUCUCUAGUCCACAUCCCCACUGGAAAACUCGGUAGACUAUUAUCAUUUUUAUUCUUUCGGUGAGAAGAGUUUUAAGUAUUGCUUCAGUCCCUUCCAUAGUUAUAGUACUACUGAGAAUUUAAUUUUGUCUCUUUUGGUUAUAGUUUUAGAUAUAGUCUCUUAGGAAUUGUUCCAUUUUGUCUGUUUUCAAAUUCACUGGCCUGAAGUUCCAUUUUGAAAUUCUCUGCUAUAUAUAAUCUGUAGCAAUGUCUCCUUUUUCAUUGCUAAUACUGGUUAUCUGUGCCUUGUCCCUUUUUUUCUUGAUCAAUCUCACCAGAGGCCUGUCGAUUUUAUUAGUCUUCACGAAGAACCAACUUUUGGCUUUGUUGCUCCUCUGUAUUGUGUCUUUGUUCUCUAUUUCUUUCAUUUCUGCUCUUAUCUUUUUUGACCUCCUUCCUUCCACAUUUUUUGGAUUUAUUCUGCUGUUAUUUUUCUGAUUUCUUAAACCGUAUAUUAAGCUCGUUCAUUUUCAGUCUUUUUUUUUCCCCUUUUUCUGUUUGCUUGCUGUUUGUGUUUCUUUGAGUCCAGGCUAAGCUCAGUUUCAUGACAGUGUCCCUGGUGCAGCAAUUACAGACAUGAGGCACUGAGCCUAGCUCUCAGCCUCUCUUGUUUUCUAAUUUAUAUAUUUAAAAACUACAAAUUUCCUGCUAAUGUUACUUUCCUACAUGAUCAUAUGUGGUAGUAAUUGCAUUGUUGUUCAGUUCCAAUAACUUCAACAUAUCUAUUAUCAUUACUUCUCUGACUCAUUAAUUAUACAGAAGUAUGUUUUUAAGUUCCCAAAUGUUUGGGGGGAUUUUAAGUUUGUUCUACUAUUGAAAUCUACUAUUAUGUUCAGAUGAUGUGGUCUAUGUGAUAACUGAAAUUUAUUGAGACUUGUUCUAUUGCUUAGUACAUGAUUGAUGAUUAUUAUUGUUUCCUAUGUGCUCUAUAAUGUAUGUCCUCUAAUUAUUGGAUAUUGUUAGAAUUUCCAAGAUAAUGUGUGUCUACUAGCAACUAUCUUAUUCAAGUUGUAUUUAUCUAAACUGAUUGUUUUUGUUAUGACCUACCAAUAGUUUUUAAAACGAACUCUGACACUGAAGUUGUCUGUUUUCUUCUUAUAGUUUCCUUUUUUAACGUAAAUUAAGAAUUGUUAUAUUUCUCGUAAAUGUGUAAUAUUCCUCUCUAUUCCUAAAUAAUAGAGGAAUUCUGCUAGAUUACCUUGUUAAUGUAACAGCACAAGCUUUUCUUCUUGUUGGGGUUUGUGUGGCAUAAUUUUCUAUCUUUUUACUUUUAAGAAGUUUUUACACCUUUGUGUUUUAAUUAUAUCUCUUGAAAACAGCAUAUGGUUGGAUAUUUUUUUAAAAAAUCUAAUCUAAGGCUGGGUGUGGUGAUGCACACCUUUAAUCCCAGCACUUAGGAGGCUGAGGCAGGUGGAUCUCUGUGCAUUUGAGGCCAGCCUGGUCUACACAGUGAGUUUAAGGCCGGUAAGAGCUAUAUACAGUGAGACCCUGUCUCAGAAAAAAAAACUUAUCUGAUGACCUCUGCCUUUAAAAAUUGGCAAGUUUAGUUUACAUUUGCUGCAGGAUGUUUGAACAUGUGUCUACCAUCACUUUGAUAUUUUUGGUUUUCCAUUGCUUUUUGUAUAUUUAAUUUUCUCUUUUCUCGCCUGCUUUUUUAGUUUUAAGUUUUUUUCUUCCUGUUAGGAUUUAUUUUUCUAUUCUUUGACUAUCCUUGAAAUUCUAGCAUGUGUGUUUAACUUACAAAGUUUAAACAACAUUUUCAGUAUAUCUUGAAGAAUGUGAGAAGCUUAGAAACUAACGAUUUUAGUCAUUCCUCUCCUGACCACUUGAUUUUGUUUUCAAGUAUGUAAAUUUAUUCCUUGGCUUUUGUUUUUUUCUUUUGGAAUCUCACAAUUAUGUAUUAUCUGUAUUAUUUUAUGUAGAAUGGCAGUAUUUGUUCUGAUUUACAUGCAUACAUUCUUGCAUCUCAGACCCCCUUAAUGCCAUCAUUUUCUUUCAUUGUGAAUACAGUGUUUAUUCUGUUAGUUCAGAUCUCUUGAUAUUAAACUCACCAGUCUUUGUUGUAUGUAAAAAGCUUUAUCUUUCUCCUUAGACGAAUUUGCACAAUUUUAAAAUACACGUAUCCGUUCUCUUUGGCUGUGAGACGUAUGCCUUGUUGCCUUUAAAAAGCACACUGUCAGUCUAGUCGUGGUUUGGUUUCAUUUGUUUUCUGAGUGGGGUGCGCAGGCAGUACUGUGGUUUCAUUCUAACGUGUUUGGACUUGUUUCUCUUUAUUCAUUCUACUUUUGAACUGUGUGUGUUUCAUGGCUUAGUAGAAGCAUGAUUUUUUUUUAUAAUUUCUGGAAAUUUCUCAACUAUUGGAUUCUUUGUUUUUUUUCCUCAGAAUCCAGUUACUUCUAUUCGUUUACUUUCUAAUUUAUCUAGUUAUCUCCAGUUAAGUCUCUUGUUGCUUGUUCACCUUUGUGAUUACAUCUGCUAUUUAUUAAGUAUGAUUUUUUGUUAAAUCAGUACUUGCUUUUUCAUGAGUGUGACAUUAUAAAUAUUGUUCAAAUCUGAGCAACACAGCACACUGAUUAUAGCACCUUGAUUGUGAAGCACCUGUUACUAUUUUUUAUUUUUAUUUUAUUUUAUUUGGUGUUUCAGGACAGGGUUUCUCUGUGAAACAGUCCUGGCACUAAUUCUUAGUAAUUCUACAAGAAUUAAAAAUUCUUCUUAGAAAUUAUUUGUGAUACCCAAAUCAGAUUAUGCCUCUAUUCUGCUCAAAACUUUUCCACGUCCGCCAGUUCCAUCAGUACAGAAGUCAGAGUCGUCUCCAUGGCCCAGAUGUUCCUACACAGUCUAGUUCCUUUCCCUCCCUGAGCUCAUUGCUAUCUCGCUCUUCUCUAGCGAUGCUGGCCUUUCUCCUAUUCCUCAAGCAUGCUAGGAACCUUCCAUCCAGGACCUUUGUAUUUGCUGUUUUCACUCCCUGGAACACCCUUCCUCUCAAAUAAUCUGAUGAUUUGACCAAGUAUUUCCUUUAUGUUCAAAUGGUACCUUCCUAGAGAAGUGUUUCCUAAUUAACAUAUAUAAAGUGGCCCAAUUACUCUCCAUGUUGUGUCUUAUCCUAUUUUAUGGUAUGUCUUCUACAAAGCACCAAUCACUACUUGGUAUAUUUUGUAUUUAUUUAUUGUGGUUAGUGUUUGUGUCUACCAAAUAGACUGUAAGCACCUCAAAGCAGAGAUUUCUAUGUUGUUUACUGCUGUGCCCCCAGUGUCAACAACAGUGUGUAAUAAUAUUCAGUGAACAUUCAAUAAAAUAUUUGUGGAAUAAAGUGAA